GCUGGACAACUGAAACCAAUAGG
rnacentral:snRNA from 1 species